rnacentral:tRNA from 1 species
UGUCCAGGGAUGGGAAUCGAACCCACAGUGUAUCGCUUACCGGGCAGAUUCCAUGCCCACUAGGCUACCAUGGUAC